ACAUAAGAUUUGUCACCAUUCUCUUCUUUCUUUAUACAUCUAAACAAUUAAUGAUAAUAAUAAUAAUAAUAAAGAAAUGAGAAAGAUGACAAAUCUUAUGUUGUGCUUCCUACCCUCAAUCUCACCAUCCCACAACUUUUUAAAACUUUCUGCACAUUCAAACCUAUUCGAAUCCACCAAACUCAAAAAAAAUAAUCAUGAUUCAAGAGCAUAGAAUCUGAUUAUUUAAAAAAAAAAAAAAAAAAAAAAAAAUUUUGCAAGAUGCUCAAGAAGCCCUUUAAUCCAUAGCAUUAGGCCCAGCACAUGCCUUCAACUCAGGGCUCCAAACCCACUGCACCAAAAACCUCCUUCCUCUUUUACCAUUCAUGUUAAAAGUCCUUCCUUGCUUGUCCCUCAUUACCUGCCCUAUGUAUCCUCCACCCCCGCCUGUCCCAUAUAAUCCUUCGCAUAAAUCCCCAAUCUCAGUUGGUGCUGUGGGGUCUUCUCCUGCAUACCAGGCGUUUACUAAUGGGUUCGAAGAUAGCUCUGCAAGCUCAUGGCCUAUUACGCUGAUCAUCCCGUCCACACCCACAUCGCCAUUCGGUGGCUUUAAUGCCCCAGGCCCACCUCCUGCCAUGUAUCCCGGUAUUGCGAAAGGAUAGGCGCAAACUUCAGGGCACUGUUUUCCUGAAUUUCCCACCCACGCGUAUGGUAAAGUGUAGCCCACCAUCGAUGGGAAUGUGAAGUAAUGGAACCCACAAACUGCUCGACAAAAGUCCUGUACGGUCACGUCUUGUGCUGUGAGGAUCAGGUAAAUCCCGUUCUUGUGAUCCACUGGGAAAGGAGCAGAUUUCACAGCGGUGACUAUCACUUGCUGGAUGGAAAGACGGGUCAAGUGCGCCCCAUGAGAGUAGGUCUUAUCCGUGUAUUCGCCGGCUAUGAGGACAGAACGAGAGACAUUGGCGCCGGUUUGGUCUGUGUAAAGAGAGACAGUGCGCCACCACUCGGAGACAGAGGGCUUAGCGGCAGCAGUAGCUGGGGAGAGGGAAUUGAUGAAGUCCUUGAUGAGGAGCUUUUGGGAAGCAGCCCAACGACCGUACCAGAUGAGGUACAUGUUGAUCGGGGAAGAGGAGAGGACUGGGCCCAUGUGGUAGCGGAGCUGGACCAAGUCUGAAGAACCCUCGAAUUUCUUGGAUGAGGAAAGGGUUCUUGGGGGAAGUUUUGGGUUGAUGUACUCUGGCUUAGUGUUUAAGGCCUGUAGUUGCGGUGGAUUUGAAUGAGUGGAAGCAUAGACAUAGCUAGAGCUAAAGAAUAUGAAAAAACCAAGAAAUGAAAGCAAGAGAUGGGGCUGUGACAUUUUGAACUGCGGUGCGAUGGAGGUGGAGGUGGCGGCUGGUGGGUGAUGAGGGAGUGAAGAAGAGAAAUGGGGAAUAUAAAGAGAGGAGAGGGUAGGGAAAAAUGGGGCGAAUGGGAG
rnacentral:misc_RNA from 1 species